GACAGAGGGUGCAAACGUUGUUCGGAAUUACUGGGCGUAAAGCGUGUGUAGGCGGUCCACUAAGUCGGAUGUGAAAGCCCUGGGCUCAACCCAGGAAGUGCACUCGAAACUGGUGGACUAGAGUAUCGGAGAGGUUGGUGGAAUUCUCGGUGUAGAGGUGAAAUUCGUAGAUAUCGAGAGGAACACCGGUGGCGAAGGCGGCCAACUGGACGAAUACUGACGCUGAGACACGAAAGCGUGGGGAGCAAACAGG
rnacentral:rRNA from 1 species